UUGAUCCCUGGCUCAGGACGAACGCGGGCGGCGUGCCUAAUACAUGCAAGUCGAGCGGAAUGAUGAAGAAGCUUGCUUCUUCUGAUUUUAGCGGCGGACGGGUGAGUAACACGUGGGCAACCUACCUUGUAGAUUGGGAUAACUCCGGGAAACCGGGGCUAAUACCGAAUAAUCCAUUUUGCUUCAUGGCAAGAUGUUGAAAGGCGGCUUCGGCUGUCACUACGAGAUGGGCCCGCGGCGUAUUAGCUAGUUGGUAGGGUAAUGGCCUACCAAGGCGACGAUACGUAGCCGACCUGAGAGGGUGAUCGGCCACACUGGGACUGAGACACGGCCCAGACUCCUACGGGAGGCAGCAGUAGGGAAUCUUCCACAAUGGACGAAAGUCUGAUGGAGCAACGCCGCGUGAGUGAAGAAGGUUUUCGGAUCGUAAAACUCUGUUGUAAGGGAAGAACACGUACGAGAGUAACUGCUCGUACCUUGACGGUACCUUAUUAGAAAGCCACGGCUAA
rnacentral:rRNA from 1 species